rnacentral:lncRNA from 1 species
CGAACGAUGCCGUUGAGAGUUGCGACCAAGCCUGCUCUAGCUUCUGCAGCGUGCAUGUUGGCAGCGCCACCGUGGUUGCUUAAGCAAAUGCAUCCAACUAGAUCGUCCUUGUGCUGAAUAAUUGGAUAUCGUAUCCACUUAAAGCUGCCUUGUGUAGUACGUCUUUGUGUCUCUCUUUAUAUUCCAAUAAGGUCGGUGAUCUUGAUGCCACACACUCAGAUGUGUGUUCAUCUCCAGAUACUACUCCAUGCUACCUGCCCUUUGUGUUUUGUUCAAUAACUGGGUAUCAUAUCCCAGCCAGUAUGCCGUCUGUUUUGUGUUUGUUUCCUUCUAGUUCCAAAGGGGUCAUCAUGAUGUUACCUUCUUUCAAUAUGGUGCUUUGCAUGACUACUGUUGUAUGGUACCAUCUUGUGGCCAAUAAGUACAUCUUAUCCUAUGACCUUUGCUAUGACCCUUUGCAAAUAAGUAGAAGAUUGUUAUAAGCGUCAAUACUCCGUAUAAAUUGAUCGCUGCUGUGAGUUCCCUUUCAGCUUAUCGUAGGCAUACAUUAUUGCUAGCACGGUAAAGCCAACCAACACGAAUGAUGAAGUAAACGUAGCGGUACUUCUGUAUACCAACACCCUUACUUAAAUGUACCGGUGUCAUUCCCUACUGGCACAUAUAUUCUUAUAUGCUAGCCAGCUUGUAAAAUUAACCAAUUAAAAUAAUUAUUUCAAGAUAGAAAUAACUUAUCGGUUUCUGGAAGCAUGUGUAAUGUGAAUUCAAGGACUCGACGGAAGUUGAAUCACUUCAUCUAUAUUGCUUUCAGUAUUUUGGGUAACUAAAUUUAACAUUUGCACAUACAAAUGUUAAAGUACAAAUGUUAAAUCUAGUUACCCAAGCAGAAUAUGAAGAUAGUUUAUAGUAUAUAUAUACUAUAUAAAUCUAGUUAACAUUUAGUCUAAAUGUUAAAUCUAGUUACCUAAAAUCCUGAAAGCAAAAUGUAUAAAUAUAUAUCUUUUAAGGCAGUAUAAGCUUCGAUUCCUAUUGCUGCUCUGUUAAAUCUCAUCUUUCGUUGUGGCCCAACACUCUAGUAUGCAUGUUGCACCAAGCUUCUUUGAGCCGCUCUGCCCUCUGAUUUUGCUGCGUAGGGGAAUCUUUAUCAGGUUGGGCUACUUCCAGUUGUGCGAUGUAAAGAUUCGUAUUUUCUAGAAGGUAGACAAAAAACUCGCGUUCUCUUAAGGCAACAACCGGAAGAUUCUGCAGCGCACAGGGCAUACCAUUAUUGUAGAAACGACCUUUAGUACCGAUCUCCAACCCCCUUUAAAACUGGUUUUGCAACCGGUACCGUUAUGUCGGUCCUUUAGUACCAGAUCAAAUAAGUACCGGUUGGUAACCAGUAUCAACUUGUUUUGCGGCCAAAAAAAUAAAGAAAAAAACAGUCAGAAGGCUCGCGCACACGCGCAUCACAUGAAAUAUGCGUGUGCGGGGUCCAUGGGAUUCGAACCCAUGAAAUCAAGCUGCGCGCGACCCUUCGUUACCAUCUCACCUACAUAGCGCAUAUGCUUUCCUGAAGUAACCCGUGGAGGAGGCUUUAGUACCGGGUCAUAACACCACCCGGUACUAAAAAUGACUCUUCAGUACCGGGUCAUAACACCACCCGAUACUAGUAUCGGAUGGUGUAAUGACCCGAUACUAAAAGGCCUCUAGGGACCCUCAAAUUUGAACCCGGUACUAAUGCUAAUAUUAGUAGCGGGUCAAAGUGCAGCCAGAACUAAAGCAUGGGAUGAAAGGUCAUAUUUCUAGUAGUGUAUAGUUGUUGUGAAGGACUGACUUGGCUGUCCUCUCUCUUCUCCAUCCCCUUGGUCUUACGCCGCCGCUCGCACGCGAGCCGGUGCCCAACCAGAGGAGUGAGAGCUAGGGGCAGGUUGGGAGGUGGGGAUAGUGACUGGUGGCCAGGGUGAUGGUUGAUCCUGGUGGGGUUAGGGUUUUAGGGUUUUCGAGCUUCCUAUGGUCGGCGAACCUAGAGGAGGAGCUCAACAUCAGCUGCAACCCGCGAUGGUGGUGGUUUGGCCGGCGCCCGAGGCGAGGCAGCGCGGGAGUGCUGCCGGUGGGUUGGUGUUGGCACUCAUUAUUGACAACUAUUUUGUUCAUAAAAUAACACUCAAACUUGCUGCUGCUGCUGCUGCUGCCAUCGCCACCCUAGCCAUAAUAUAAAGGCAAAAUUUGCUAAAGGACAUGCAAAAUGAUGCUAGUUUGCUGGCGGGCAUCGUUGACCUUGUAAUAUGCUACAAGACACUCUAGUUGUGUAUCAAUUUGCUGAAAGACAUUGCUAUGACUAAAAUAAUGUUUCUGGACUGAGUUGGAGAGAGAGAUGGAGUGAAAUGUCUGUUUUGCCCAUGACCCCACUGGUCAGAUCCUUCUUCUUCCACCCUCCUUUGUUCUUUCUUCAACCAUUACCCAGCUCCAGCGUGUUGCAGAUCUACGAGGGUGGCGGCCUGGGGCGAGGGGCAUCGCUCGCCCUUGGAGGAGCGCUGCGAGCGACGGCGCGGGGGCGGCAACAGCGCGUCAGAACCUGACUGUUCGUUAGCUCCUCUCGCUGCUGGGGAAGGAGGGGGAUGGGCCAUGGACGGGGUUCCCUUGAAAACCUCAGCGUCGAGCUCGGGCGGCUACGCGCAGGCAGCACUAGGCUGCUUCACGGGGAGGGGGCGCGGCCAAUCAUUGGCACCCCACUGGUCCAAUGCUGAUGAAGAUGGUGCCAGCGUCGUGUGAGGACAUCUCAUCUCCUCGAGUUCCAUGGCCAGCACAGGUGAGCUGCCGCUACCACAAAACAGAGGUUUCGUGAGAGUCAAAAAACCUUAUGAAAAUAGCUAAAACCAUCAUGAAAAUAAUCCGUGACAUGACACUCUCACGAAAAUCCUCUCACAAAUAUGGUGCCAUGAAAAUACCAUUUUCAUGAGAGUGAACUGUCAUGAUUUUAUUUCGUGAGAGUAUUUCCUAUCAAUGACCUCCACGAAAUACUUUGUGCCACCAGGUCUUCAAGAUCAUUUUCAUGAGAGCUGAACAUCAGGAAAAGUCCGCCACAAAUGUUUUUCUUGGAGCCCCUAACUCUCAUGAAAAUCAUGCGGGCCGCCACGAAAAACAGCAUGACCAAAUGACAAAUUUCAUUUUCAUGUGUUCAUACCGCCAUGAAAAUGGUCAUUUUCAUGAGAGUUGAUGAAACAAAAAAUAGUGCCAUUUUCAUGAGAGUUCAAGCAACCAGGAAAAGACACUAAUAAACAUCCAGAUCCCAUCCAGCACACAUCCAUGCACAUAUAUAACCCACAUAUUGCUCCAGCACACAUCCAUGCAUAUACAAGAUCCAAAUGUUAAUAUAGUAGACAUCCAUGCCUGAACUAGUCUGCCACACAAGUCAUUGAUGCUACAAAUCCUACAAUCGCAGCAUGUGCAUACAAGUCACAGAAUGAGACAAUGUACCCAAAACUAAAAGGUUAGCAUCAACUGUGCUUCAACCAAAGUUGUCAUCCCAACUCUCCUCUUCAUCCAUGCCAUUCUUGUCGUGGCCGUCACUGUCAGUCCCCAUGGCAUUGCCAAUGCUGUGCAUGUCUUGGUAGGAACCUACAUGUGAUGAACUAGUAACCUGCAAAAAGAGCUCAAAGGAUCUUGUUCUCAUAUUGUAGCUGUGAAAUUCUUACAAGUAGUGUUGCAAUCAGUUCACUUUGAACCAAAAGAGCUCAAAGGAUCUUGUCCUAAAAGUUCCUCAUAAAGCUUAUGGGUUUGCUGGUGGAACUGGAAGGGCUUGAUGCAGCAGAUGCCAUUCUGCAAUAGAGAAAAAUUUAGAGAGCAGUACUAGUUAAAAUUGGAUGCAGAAGAUACACAUGAAACUAGUAUUUAUACAAGUCUAUACAAUUAAAAUCUAAGGAGACUUAUCAUCGUUUUCAUGUGUUGUGAAUUAAAAUAAUGAAGGAUACACUGUUAGGUGAAAAUUCAAGAAACAAAAUUUUGCAUAGAGAUAAAGGUCCAACAUUAUUACAAGUUAAGGUAGUUUUAAAUAUCCUUGUAAUCUUCCUUUGGUUUCCUCAACGAUUCGAAGACAAUAACCUUGCUUCUAUCAAUGAUAAUUAUAAGGAGAAUCCAGUGGAAACUGUGUAUUCGUAUUAGAACUACCUAAGGUUAAUUAGGUUAGGAAAGGAAAUUGAAAAUAGAUGGUACCCACACUUACUUAAAGUUGUCGGGCAAUAGUAUGUAAUGCUUGUAAUUCCGUUGCUCCAAGAAUUUGUAUAUGUGGUCCAAUGUAGACUUUGGUUGAUCCCGUAUCUGCUGUUGGUUAAAUAAGUGUUUCUAGCCAUUUCUAGCCAUUAGAACCGGGACUAAAGGGGGCUCUUUAGUACGGGUUGAUAUUACUAACCGGGAUUAAAGAGCCCCCAUUAGAGUUGGUUUUUGGAUGCGGAACUAACAACUCCUUUAGUCCUGAGUACGAAAACAACUGACAUAUUUGUUGCUGGAUGGAAGGUCCUUUCUCUACCGUGAAUAUUGCCAGAAAGAAUUGAAAGAGACUGCUUGCUAAAAAUAUGUCAUAGAUGUAGACCAAGCUACCAAGGAGGUAGACCAAACAUGAUACACACCAUGCGUACCUUGCUGUGCAGACUAUGCAUUGACAAGAUACCCGACCACAUGUUGGCCUCGGUCACAUCAAAAGAAUCAUGUAGGCCACCAAUAAACUACUUGAAGCGGCAUUCCGUAUCGUAUAUGCAUUGCCGGUUCAUCUGCAUUACAUUACAUAAAGCACUAUUAACUAUUUGAAUAAAAUGAACCAAUUUAAAAGUAAUGUGUUGUACUCUACUAUAGAAAGCCCUAUCACUGCCGGAUCCAAAAACAUCAUUGUUAAUGGUGGUUAAGUACCAAAUAUGACGGUCAAUAUUCUCAAGAAUAAUGGAGAAUUAGCAUUUCUUAGACACAUAUUUGGUUUUGAACAAUGUAGUUCCACAUGUCUUUGGAGAUUAUUUGGGUGUGGGUGAAAUAAUACAAAAAUAAGGAGAAAACACACUCCCAUGGCGAAGAAACACAACUCCAACCAAUGAGAGAUAGCCACAGGGGCAGCACACGGAUCCAUGGGCCCACUAACCGCAUCAAACCAUCUUACCAAGGCAGGUAGCACCCACAACCGUCAUUAGGACCCACCUGGAAGUCUACCAAGAAGAAGGUUGCGAGUGGGGCCAGGAGGGGUUCGGUUGAAUCAUCUCUAGCUAGCUCCCCUCAUCCCCAGCUGGUGGGUGGUGGUGGUUGAUGGUGUCCCUACAUCAGUUAGAGGAGAUUCCCCCAAAUAUUCCUCCUGUAAACCACCUCUAUGGACCUAUACAUAGAGGGGUGUGCUCUCCAUUCCAACACACACCACAAGUUGAAUCACUCUCUCCCUCUUUAGUUUCCAAGUUUAUGGAGUUAGGCUAGAGUAGCUCUGCUCAAGGUUCCAAGUCCACUUGGAGUUAAGCAUAUGUCUCUUGUAUCGUUAUUUCCUAAAUUGACUUUAUGCUUAGUUCUUAUAUGCAUGAGUUAGUCUAAUACCCUUGCUAUAUUGAUAUGCUCGGCUUAUAUGCUCGUAUGCUAGUCAUAUACCCUUGCUGUCGUAGUAUAGGCUUAUAUGCUCUCAUGUGUGCCUGUAGACCUUGCUAUAGUAUAUACUUGUUGUGCAUACAUACCAUGUAUAGGCUAGUCGAUCUAUACCAUGGCAUUGGUUCAAUAGCCAUGUUUUUGGUGGCUCCAACCCUAGUCACAAUAGCUCGGGACAGCUGGAGUGUUGUUAAAAAUGCAAGAGUGGUGCUUGGGUUGUUUAGCAUCGUUGGAUAUGGGUUUGCCCCACGGGUUUCUAACGGUAGGCGGCAGCUAGUGACAUCCCUGUCCGUCCUUCGUAAUCCCCCCACAUUCAGGUACGCCAUAAAUGUUCGUAAAUUAGCAGUAACUACGCCGGUACACCUGUAGGGUAUUGUCUCCCUGUAGUACCUUGGUGCAUAGAACUAAGUCCUAUACACUGUGUGUGUAUGUUUACGCUGAUAUGAUCUGUGCAGUAUAUAGGAUGUAUAUAUGAACCUAGAGCUAACUCCUAGUCCGUUCUCCAUAGCUUAGUUAUCUUGAGAUGAUUCUUCUGUAUGUGUAACACUACCCAUCUUAUCAUUAUCCUUGAUCCUGUCUUGUGUAAUAUAUCUACUCAUCCUAUGAUAUACUCAUAUGCAUAGUAAACUAUUUUGACCUACCCGCCUUCCUUUGGGAAAUAUGAUACCUUGGAAUAAUCCUAGGUGAAAUCCUACAACGGUAUAUCCAUGUAAAUGCGGAUUUAUUCAUGACCAUUAAAUAUACCAACAAUCAUCACUGUGAGUUUUGGGCGUCGUUAGUGAAGGGUUGGUAGUGAUGGGCAUCCCCUUCACCAAUGGACCUGGAACCGGCGGUGAUGGCUAUUAUAAAAAAGGGGACACCACCCAGCGUACCCCACGACCCGGCCGGCCGCACCUCCCAUCAUCCCCGCCAGCCGCCCUUCCUUUUCGCCGGCCGAGCAUGGUCCCGGCCUUUGUCCCUACCACCUCGCCUCCACCGCGACCCCCCGCCGAUGCCCUCGUGCCUGGCCCCCCUCAUCUUGCCGGCCACCCUCCCGAUGCGUCCACUGGGGCCCUCGCACCACCAACCGCCCUUGCUUAGAGAGGGAGAGAGAGGAGGGAGGUGAGGCCACGCACCUCGUCCUACACCGCCGCUGUUUCUCCUCGGCCCACCGCGCCUCACCCCACACCACAGCCGCGCCUUGCCAUCUUACCGGCUGUGACGCCUCAUCUCACCGGCCACCGUUCCUCACCCCCACUUCGGUCGUCGCCGCUCCUUGCCCUACCGCUGCUCUUUGCCGCUGCGAAUGAGCGCCGAGUGGAGGAGGAGGGAUGGGGCAGGAGGAGGGCAAGAUCCGGGAGGAAGGGAGAGAUCUCGGGAGGUGGAGAUGGAAGGAUAUGGCGGAAGGGAGAGAUCCAGAGGGAGAGAGCAGGGGAGAGAGGGGGGCGUGUGGGGAGAGAGCGCGUGUGGGGUGGGGCCGGGCUGGUGGGAUGGAAGGGAGAGGGGCUAGACGGGCGCAGUGCAUUCAACUGGAUGAAGUAAAUAUUUUGGAUUCGAGACCCCAGCUUUAUUAUCACCGCUGGUCCGUAGUACCAUCCGGUGCCUGCUCGUAAUUUAAUUUGAAUCUGCGGUGAUGUUUUAUUAUCACCAUCGGAUCAUAUAAAAAUCCGGCGGUUAAAAAUCCGCUGGUUUCGAUGAAAACCGACGGUGAUAGGAUGACUGUGAUAGUCUCUUCUCUAGUAGUGGUAUAUUAGUACCGGCUGCCGGAUGGUGUUGCCGACCAGUACUUCUCCGGGGGCGAUUCAGUACUGCUGUUAGCAAAGCUUGUUCUCUAUGAAUUUGGGGAUGGAAAGCUAGUUCUCUAGUUGUGAUUUGUUACAUAUAUAUCUAUGAUAGUCUAGAAAUUGCAUGUCCUUCGUUGACAUAGUUGAAGCUGCUUCAAGAAUUUACUUCGUGCAGUCGUGCAGCAUAUUGGAUUAUCACCUAGACAGGAUACAUAGGUGAAGCAUUGGAUGUGAUUGUGGCCGAUAAUUAUGCAGGACGCUGUUGCAAUCAACCACCAAGAAGUCUGGAGUGAUGGGGUUGCCUCAUCAAUAAUUUUUAUAUAUGGCUGCAGUAUUAUUAAGCCCACGUCAAUAAUUUUUUGUCCGCACCAUAUAUCGAUGGGGUUGCCUCAUCAAUAAUUCGCGCAACCAGACAAGCUGCAGACUCAAUAUGGUACGAAGCUAGUUGCUCAGCCCACAUGCUCUGAUAUAACAUUGACAUCUGCUGAUCUACAGUAUAUAUGACCAGAAAUAUUGUGCCCACCUCAAUAACUUUCUGAAGUAUCGUGGGGAAGAACCUACGCGUACUAUGCCUCGGAACUAACUGACAUAUCGGCCCAGGCGGUCUAGGCCGAUUGGACUGGCUCUUCCUUGUGGCUUCUCACAUCCCCUUCGUCCCCAAGUAAUUUCAGGUGUUCUGUAGUUUUCUUUUCACUUGCAUCUGAGCCUCCUAUAUCAAUAGCUUCGGGAUAAGAAUGCCUCUUGAUAACCUUCCAAAUCCUCGCUUGAUUCACAUUGAUUCCGAAAUCAUCUUGCCAUAUCUUCAGAGACUUAGGUCCUAAGGCAUCAUGGAGGAUUGCUCGCCAAGAAUGAGCACCAUUGGGCUCCUGAGGACCCUAGGCCGAUCAGCCCGGGCUCUAUAGGUCGAUUGGCCCAGGCCCUCUCUGGGCCUGUUGGCCUUCAUCUUUCUUUGAGUCGACGCUUAUUCAGGGCUUUGUCCAAUUAUAGUCCAUUAUAGUCUAAUUUCCUAAAAAACAGAAUGUCCUCCAAAAUACAAUGCAUAUGUGAAAACAACCCAAUUAUUAGGUAUGAUCAAUAGUUUAGGUAUUAAAUUAAUAUUAUUAUUUAAGAUAAACAGGGGUAAAGGGUGUCAUUAAUAACAAGCGCCAACAAGCGUCCUAGCUGUUCAAUAAAUUUUUUCUAGUACCGAUUGGUAACACUAACCGGUGCUAAUAUGUACCCUUUAUUACCGGUUAUUUUACCAGGUACUAAAGGAGACAAGAGCAUCCUAACAUAAGGUUAAUAUCAUCCAUUUCAUGAGUAAAAUACUAUGAUUCAAAAAUAAUUCAAAUCCCUUAAGACAAUACCUAUCAAAUGAGUAAAUUGUAAAUAGAGUAAUCUUGAUCAAACAAUGUCCUAAUGAAACGGAACACUUCUGGUUCGUGUAGAGCACAAUAUAGAAAACAGUAGGGUAGCUGUAUGAUUGACACGUGGUCCAUUAAUUAUUGAGCCAACACUAUGGACAUGUCUUCAUGAGUAGUGUACUAGUCAUAAUACAUGGUAUGCAGUAGGUGGAGGUAUUGACUUAGCCAUGCUAUGAGCACUUAGUUACAACAAACACUUUGCCAUUAUCGAGCAUCCCAAAUCACUACAAAAUCCAUAGUUUACCAUAUACUACAAAAUCUGAGUUAAAAUAAGAGCAUACACGGAAGAGUCCGAAUGCACGGCACAUUGAAUUACUAGACAAAAUUUAUGGGACAAGGUUUUGGGUAACCGCAUGAAAAAUAUUGGAUUUUACUGAACACUUAGUUACAAUUACCAUGCCCGUGAGCACUUAGUCACCACAAACAUUUAACCACUUUAGAUCAUCCUGAAUCCCUAUAAAUUCUAUACCUUACACCGUACCAUGAAAACGACAAGAACAGAGACAGAUGCGGUGAAAAUCUCCAGAGCAAGCCUGAAAUUAAAAUAAGAGGAGGCAGUCACUAUCGACAGGACACGGAGAUUGCUAGCCAUGACAGAGGAAGACAUGAUAUGAUAUUCACCUCUGAAAUGCAGCGUAGACUAAAUGAAGCACAAUUGCAAGUGAGUGUGGCAGAUAAUGGACCAUCGAGACCAUCGAAUGGUAUGAAGCAUGAUUAUCACCUAGACAUGAUAUCCUAGACAGGACGGUGAAUUGUAAAAAGAGUAAUCUUGAUCAAAGAAUGUCCUAAUGAAACGGAACAUUUUUGGUACGUGUAGAGCAAAAUAUAGAAAACAGUAGAGUAGUUGUACGAUUGAAACUGCAUCCAUCGACGUGGUGCAUGAAUUGUUGAGCCAACACUGUGGACAUGUCUUCAUGAACACCAUCUAGUGAGGACAGCAUGCAGAAAAAUAUAAAAACAUGUCAUAGGGAGGCAGACCAAUCUUGCGAGGUAGACGAAACGUGAUACACGAUCUGCCUACCUUGUCGUGUGGAUACCCCAAGUGAAGAUGUCAUAGAGGUGCAGACCAAGCUAGCAAGGAGGUAGAUGAAACGUGAUACACGGCCUGCCUACCUUGCCGUGGAUAUUAGUCCUGAUAUCAUUCUAUUGUUCAAGGAAUAACACUCAAUGCUGCUGCUGCUGCUGACCUGGCUCCAUAAAGUUAUAUUCCUCUAGCCGCUUGCACUAACUUUAUCUGAAGUAUUAUUCUCUCUGCACUGUAUAUAUGGUUACGGAGUUUGCUGGAGUAUCCGGGGGGAAGAACCUACAUAAUAUGUCUUGGAACUAACUGACAUUGAUUCACAGACAAGGUGCUGUUGUUGACAUGGUACAGUAAAUAAUAUAGUUUACCAUAUACCGUAUACCAUUAUAUGUUAGCUAAAAUAAGAGCAUAACAUGUCGCAGGAGUCCAAAAGCACCGGUUGAGGACCAGGUACAUUAAAUUACUAGAAAACAAAAGGGGACAAGGUUUAGGUAGCCACAUGAAAAACAUUUGAAUUUACUGUACCAUGAACACUUAGUUACCAUGCCGGGAGCACCUAGUUAACACUAACAUUUAGCCACUUUAGAUCAUCCCGAAACACCAAUGACCCUCAAUAGCGACAAAUUUUGGUUUAAAUGCCGUCACCAAUGAUCCUCAAUAGUGACGUGUUUAGGUUUAAAUCCCAUCACUAAUAACCCUUGGUAGUGACGUGUUUUGGUUUAAAUCUCAUCACCACUGAUCCUCACUAGUGACGUGUUUUUAGCAACACACGUUAUGAAUGACUUGUCAUUGGUGACAUGUUAAACGCGUUAUCUCAAUGGCAAAUCAAUGGUGACGUGUUUAAAAAAACAUGUCACUGUGAGAGUUAUUGGUGAAGGGUAAUUAAAAUGCAUCACUAAUUUUGUAGCAUUAGUUAUGAUAUAAUUUUGUAACGCAAAAAUCUACCAUAGUAAUGAGGUUUAGAGCCAUCACUAAUGUGGGUUUCUUAUCGUAGUGAUGCAAGCUCUACAAGGUGCUGUUGUUGCCAUUUUAAAGCAUCCCAAAUGACUACAAGAGUCCGGUUGAGGACUAAACAAAUUGAAUUACUAGAACCAAAUGUAUGUCCAGAACAAAGAAAGGGGUCAAGGUUUGGGUAACCGCAUUAAAAACAUUGAAUUUUACUGUACCAUGAACACUUAGUUACCAUUACCAUGCCUUGAGCACCUAGUUACCACAAACAUUAAUUUAGCCACUUUAGAGGUUCCACAAUCACUAUAAAUAAUAUACCAACACCGUACCAUGAAAACAUCAAGAAGAGAGACGGGUACAUGGACCACCAUCAAGUGAGUAGUGACAGCACGCACAAGAAUACCCGGAACCUUUUAGCUUGUCUGUAGUGAUCUGUUUUCUUCGCCACAAAUAAUGAAAGAGGCUGACCAAGCUAGCAACGAGGUAGAGCAAACGUGAUACACGUAGGUUUCAUUCAAGACAUCCAUGUAAGAUUCAUUCAAAACAUUCAUGGAAAUUUCUUGUAAGUUUUCAUGUAAAUUUCAUUCAAGACAUUUGUUAGAGGUGUUGUAUAUACACUUAACGUACAUAUAUCUAUGAUUUCAUGGUUGUUAGUGAUGGCAGAUGAGGAGCAUGCAAGGUGUUUAAUGGAGCAGAUUAUUGCUAGUGGUAGUGGCUCCAACCUGCCCGUAACGUACACCGACGAAGAGGGCAGCCAGGCGGACAUGUUCCUCAACAUGUCCGGUGAUGGCAAUGAAGAGCCCGAGCAAAACCUUGCCGUGACGGAAGGUUCCAUCGAGGUAUAUAUCAUUUCCAUUAUUUUACCCCAUCUAUAAUUUCAUAUUCAUUAUUACUAUGUGCUAAUUAAUGAAUCUUGAACCGUUAGUCCUCUAGAUCAACGAACCGAAAUAAGCCCCGAGGUCUUACAAAGAUAAUGCAGGGAAGGCUUCACAUCAUGGAAGUCACAGAAGAGGGCACAUCGGUUGCUCCCGAACAUGUGGCAAGAAAGUACGUGAGUCAAACCGGGGCAAUCGUAAGGGACAACAUGCCCAUCAGCAUCAGGGAAUGAAAGAGCAAUAGAAAUGAUCUAUACGCACCCCCGGAUACACAAAAGGAUAUGUUGUGGGCAAAUAUCAAGAAACACUUCACAUUUCCCAAAGGAUAUGUUGAAAAAUAUGUGAAAGCGUGGAUGUUGAAGAAGAUGGCCACCCAAUUCCAGACAUUCAAGAAGAUGUUGGAUGCCAACUUCAUCAAGAAGGGUCGAACUCCGGGUUUCAAUGAGUGGCCAAAGUUAAGGGACCACUGGGAGUCGUUUGUCGAAUACAAGACGAGCGAAGGUGGUGCGAGUAAGGUUCACAUCAAUGUUGCCAAUGCUAGCAAGGAGUACCAUCAUCAUCUAGGGCGACGUGGUUACAGCUCUGCAAUUCCCAGAUGGCGCAAGAUGGAACAAGACCUGAUCGAUCGGGGUAUCGUACCAGCAACUCUUGACUGGAUCGAUUGAAAAAUUGGUAUUAUGCUCAUGAAGGCAAUCUGAGCCAAGAGGAUCCGACAUUGGUCUUCAAUAAAACAAUACGUCAGAAGGUCGGAAGGCUUAUUAGGAACAUUGAAGAUGCUAAAGCUGGGAGGUUCAAGGUGGAUAGAGAGAAUGAUGAACUCACAUUGGCCCUCGGGACUGUCAUCUCUAGCACUUCCAGCUCCAGGACUAUCGUCACCACCGGGACCGUCGCUUCCUGCUCGAUCACAGUCUCCAUCUCCAGCACAUCCUGGUGGUGCGAGCGACGACGACAACAACACCCCUCCCUGCCCACCAUUGCCGGGACUAAGACCCGCAUUGAGUAAGGAACCUGCAACACCACUGAAGAAGUCGCGACCACCACCUUCAAGGCAAGUCAGCAAAAGAAGAAAGCAGAGAAGCCUAAACCCACUGAGAAGCCAGCGACUGAUAUGACCGAUGCGGAAAGAUGGAAGGCACUCAAAGAAGAAUGCAGGGAGUGGUUCAGCGAAGGCGAAGGUGAGAAAGUCGUAUGAAUCGAAUUCAAGGAUAUAUAUGAAGUGAACCAUCAGGAUGCCCUUGAUGUCUCUCUCAUCAGCGCCUAGGUUCUGUAAGUGUAUGUUUAUCUAUAAGUAAAUUUUGGCUCAUAUCAUUAUUUUUUUUGCGUGCGUCACCCUACUAACUUCGUCUUCCAUUUUAUGUAGGAUGCUAAUUCAGACGUGCCGCAUAGAAGCGUACUUCCAUGUUGGAUUCAUGGAUCCAUCCCUAGUUAACCAAAAGCCGAUACGGAAGUAGCUAGAGAAAACGUUGGAGGUGGUGUACAACCUCCUGGACAAACUAAACUACAGAAUAGGGGCAAUAUGUGAGGGUCUUGUAGGAUUCCUAGUGGACGAGGUGAUAAAUCCAUAAGGAGAAUAUCAUUCCAACGGACGAGCAUUAGACACACUGAGCAACACCUAGAUGGGAGGAUCCUAGGAAUGACCUCGACAGAUUUUGGUAUAAAUAGUAAUUGUGUAAAUACUAGUUUGAUUUGUAUAGGAAUAUACUAAGAAUUGUAUAUAUAGUAAUUGUACAAAUACUAGUUUGAUUUGUAUGAAUACUAGAUUGAUUUUAUUAUAAAAAAGUUUUAAGUCGUACGUGCAUGCGCCUACAAAGGCGCGGAUGCCUUUUAAUCCCAGUCGGAAAAACAAACUGGUACUAAAGGGGCUCGUGCCGCACCUGGCAUGACCACCCCUUUAGUCCCGGUUGAACGACCCAGGACUAAAGAUCUCCGCGUCUCAAAAAUUUUAUCUCGGAUGCUUUUUAGAGAGAUUUGAGGCCUAUCAACCAAGACUAAUAUCGAGUUUUCUACCAGUGAAACUAACUAACGUUCACAUGGUUUUGACAUUCACCUGCCAUUUGGUGUAGACAAGGGCACCCUAACAUAUGGUUAAUAUUAUUCUUGAAAGAAAAUCCUUUGAUUCAAAAUACUUCAAACCUAAUAAUACAAUACUUCUCACAUCUGAAAAAUAUGAGACGGCCCGACAGUAUUCUAAUCGACGCAAUAAUAUUUUGAGGGCAGCACUACUACAGCGACCCUCAUUCGUGCCGGUGCUGGGACUCCUAUCACGACCCUGAUACAAAUGAGGGUACAUUAUUGGUGCCAGUGCUAGAACAGCCACGAAUAACUUGCUAAACGUGCUGUUACACUCACUACAGGGACCAAGAAGGUAGAUAAAUUACACGACAUAGCCUUGGUUGCCGUGGAAGCGCCAAGAAGGGAGACAAAUUACAGGGACCACACCAUCAAGUAGAUAGUGACAAUAUGCAAAAGAAUACCCGCGCCUGUUAGCAUGUGAACUGACCACACCACGAAACGUGAUACACGGCAAGCGUACCAAGGCCUUGCUGUGCAGACUAUGCAUGGACAACACAUGGUACCUGACCGCUUUUGGCCUCAGACACAUCGAAAAACUGCAUCGUUCCACGUUGUACAUCCAUUGCUAGUUUAUCUAUAUUACAUAAUAUAUUAUUAGCUAUUUGAAUAGAAUGAACCAAUUAAAAAAUUGCGUUGUAUUUUUAGUACCGGCUGCAGGAUGGUGUUACCAACCAGUACUAAUUGGCCUGUAGGAGUGAUGGUUAUUAGACUUGGUACUGUUGUUAGCAUCAUUAACCUAAUUGUGCGCCGUAUGAAUUUGGGGAUGCAAAGCUAGCUCUCUAUGAAUGUGAGGGAUGGAAAGCUAGUUCUCUAGUAGUAAUUAUAUAUAUGACAGUCAAGAAAUCGAACACUAUGCUGCUACGAGUCACCAUCAUUUCCUUCAUUGACAAUCUGACAUAGGUGAAGCUGCUUCAAUAAUUUCCUUCGCGCAGUCGUGGAGCUUAUUGGAUUAUCACCAGGACGGGACACGGAAAUGGCCAGCAAUGAAGCUGAUUGCCGUCUGAGGAAGACUACAUACUUACCUAUGAAAUGAAGCGAUUGCAUAGACUAAUGAAGCAUUGCAUAUUUGCAUGUGAGUGUGGCAGAUAAUUCUGCAGGACAUGAUUGCAAUCCACGCACCAUCGAGAAGACUGGGGCGAUGGGGUUGCCUCAUCAAUAAUCACGUGGAUGCAUGCAUGCAUGUUCCCGCAACCGGACAAGGGUCUGAUAUAUGGCUAUAGUAUUACUGAGCCCACAUCAAUAAUUUCCACUGGUGUAUCGUGUGGGAAGAAUCAACAUACUACACCUCGAGUUCUUGGAACUAACUGACGUUCACAUGCAACCUCCACAAGGUGCUGUAUGCUUUUGACAUUCACCUGCCAGUUCGUGUAGAGAAGGACACCCUAACGUAUAGUUAAUAUUAUCCAUUUCAUGAGUAAAAUACUGUGAUUCAAAAAUACUUCAAAUCCCUUGAGACAAUACUUCUCACUUGACUAACCACUAACCAACCCCGAAACCCUAACUCAACUCCGAACCCUAACCCCUAACGGCAUAACCACUCCGUUUUGCCGGCGAGAUGGAGGAACUGGCUGGAAGGUAGAGAGGGCAGCGGUCCAGGGUUGAAAACGACGGGCGAGCGCAGUAACAUGUGGAGGAGGAAGUGCCACGUAUUCGUUCACCGCUAUUGGGCAGCGACACACGACACGCCCAAUAAGAUCUUCGCACGGUAGAAGGACGUCAUGUAUUCAAUAAUGUUAUUGGUCCCCCAUGUGCAGAAGGGCGCGCGCGUAUGGAAUAACAAGUAGGGACACUGCAACUAAUCUACUCUGCUCGUCCAGUCCCUAGCCUAUAAAUAGAUGCCAUGCUAGCUCUUGUUGUGCUCACAAUUAAUCCGAUUACACACGAGCUUCUCUCCCUGGCCAAGACACAACCAUAGUAUGAUGAAGAACAUGGCACUAGCCGGCAAUGGUAUGAAGAAGUUAAUCCUCGCUGUUCUCUUACUGUGUCUAGUUAUAGGGCAGAUACAAGUGGAAGCUAAGAGCUGCUGCCCAUCCACCACUGCAAGAAAUGUCUACAAUACCUGCCGUUUCACGGGUACAUCCCGUCCAACGUGUGCAAAACUGUCAGGCUGCAAAAUUAUCAGCGGGAACAAAUGCAAGCCCCCUAACGACCACCUCACCCUUGACCCGGACACUGGUAAAUAAUAAAUUUAUCUCACUUGAUUUCUUCGUGAUUUGAGUCGUUAAUGUAUUUUCCAUCUGAUGAAACGUAUUGGUUUUGCAUUGAAGAGGAAGUUAAUGUGCUUAACUUCUGCAAGUUGGGGUGUGCGUCGUCUGUGUGCAACAACAUCAACGCUGGUAAGCAACUUUUGCUCAGACAGAGAAAACAAUAAUCAUUAAUUAGCGGCAGCUAGAAUCCUAUAAUCUAAUAUAUAUAUAUAUAUAUAAUUUUAUCAGCUCUGGGAAAUGAAGAGGCGAACGAUGCCGUUGAGAGUUGCGACCAAGCCUGCUCUAGCUUCUGCAGCGUGCAUGUUGGCAGCGCCACCGUGGUUGCUUAAGCAAAUGCAUCCAACUAGAUCGUCCUUGUGCUGAAUAAUUGGAUAUCGUAUCCACUUAAAGCUGCCUUGUGUAGUACGUCUUUGUGUCUCUCUUUAUAUUCCAAUAAGGUCGGUGAUCUUGAUGCCACACACUCAGAUGUGUGUUCAUCUCCAGAUACUACUCCAUGCUACCUGCCCUUUGUGUUUUGUUCAAUAACUGGGUAUCAUAUCCCAGCCAGUAUGCCGUCUGUUUUGUGUUUGUUUCCUUCUAGUUCCAAAGGGGUCAUCAUGAUGUUACCUUCUUUCAAUAUGGUGCUUUGCAUGACUACUGUUGUAUGGUACCAUCUUGUGGCCAAUAAGUACAUCUUAUCCUAUGACCUUUGCUAUGACCCUUUGCAAAUAAGUAGAAGAUUGUUAUAAGCGUCAAUACUCCGUAUAAAUUGAUCGCUGCUGUGAGUUCCCUUUCAGCUUAUCGUAGGCAUACAUUAUUGCUAGCACGGUAAAGCCAACCAACACGAAUGAUGAAGUAAACGUAGCGGUACUUCUGUAUACCAACACCCUUACUUAAAUGUACCGGUGUCAUUCCCUACUGGCACAUAUAUUCUUAUAUGCUAGCCAGCUUGUAAAAUUAACCAAUUAAAAUAAUUAUUUCAAGAUAGAAAUAACUUAUCGGUUUCUGGAAGCAUGUGUAAUGUGAAUUCAAGGACUCGACGGAAGUUGAAUCACUUCAUCUAUAUUGCUUUCAGUAUUUUGGGUAACUAAAUUUAACAUUUGCACAUACAAAUGUUAAAGUACAAAUGUUAAAUCUAGUUACCCAAGCAGAAUAUGAAGAUAGUUUAUAGUAUAUAUAUACUAUAUAAAUCUAGUUAACAUUUAGUCUAAAUGUUAAAUCUAGUUACCUAAAAUCCUGAAAGCAAAAUGUAUAAAUAUAUAUCUUUUAAGGCAGUAUAAGCUUCGAUUCCUAUUGCUGCUCUGUUAAAUCUCAUCUUUCGUUGUGGCCCAACACUCUAGUAUGCAUGUUGCACCAAGCUUCUUUGAGCCGCUCUGCCCUCUGAUUUUGCUGCGUAGGGGAAUCUUUAUCAGGUUGGGCUACUUCCAGUUGUGCGAUGUAAAGAUUCGUAUUUUCUAGAAGGUAGACAAAAAACUCGCGUUCUCUUAAGGCAACAACCGGAAGAUUCUGCAGCGCACAGGGCAUACCAUUAUUGUAGAAACGACCUUUAGUACCGAUCUCCAACCCCCUUUAAAACUGGUUUUGCAACCGGUACCGUUAUGUCGGUCCUUUAGUACCAGAUCAAAUAAGUACCGGUUGGUAACCAGUAUCAACUUGUUUUGCGGCCAAAAAAAUAAAGAAAAAAACAGUCAGAAGGCUCGCACACACGCGCAUCACAUGAAAUAUGCGUGUGCGGGGUCCAUGGGAUUCGAACCCAUGAAAUCAAGCUGCACGCGACCCUUCGUUACCAUCUCACCUACAUAGCGCAUAUGCUUUCCUGAAGUAACCCGUGGAGGAGGCUUUAGUACCGGGUCAUAACACCACCCGGUACUAAAAAUGACUCUUCAGUACCGGGUCAUAACACCACCUGAUACUAGUAUCGGAUGGUGUAAUGACCCGAUACUAAAAGGCCUCUAGGGACCCUCAAAUUUGAACCCGGUACUAAUGCUAAUAUUAGUAGCGGGUCAAAGUGCAGCCAGAACUAAAGCAUGGGAUGAAAGGUCAUAUUUCUAGUAGUGUAUAGUUGUUGUGAAGGACUGACUUGGCUGUCCUCUCUCUUCUCCAUCCCCUUGGUCUUACGCCGCCGCUCGCACGCGAGCCGGUGCCCAACCAGAGGAGUGAGAGCUAGGGGCAGGUUGGGAGGUGGGGAUAGUGACUGGUGGCCAGGGUGAUGGUUGAUCCUGGUGGGGUUAGGGUUUCAGGGUUUUCGAGCUUCCUAUGGUCGGCGAACCUAGAGGAGAAGCUCAACAUCAGCUGCAACCCGCGAUGGUGGUGGUUUGGCCGGCGCCCGAGGCGAGGCAGCGCGGGAGUGCUGCCGGUGGGUUGGUGUUGGCACUCAUUAUUGACAACUAUUUUGUUCAUAAAAUAACACUCAAACUUGCUGCUGCUGCUGCUGCCAUCGCCACCCUAGCCAUAAUAUAAAGGCAAAAUUUGCUAAAGGACAUGCAAAAUGAUGCUAGUUUGCUGGCGGGCAUCGUUGACCUUGUAAUAUGCUACAAGACACUCUAGUUGUGUAUCAAUUUGCUGAAAGACAUUGCUAUGACUAAAAUAAUGUUUCUGGACUGAGUUGGAGAGAGAGAUGGAGUGAAAUGUCUGUUUUGCCCAUGACCCCACUGGUCAGAUCCUUCUUCUUCCACCCUCCUUUGUUCUUUCUUCAACCAUUACCCAGCUCCAGCGUGUUGCAGAUCUACGAGGGUGGCGGCCUGGGGCGAGGGGCAUCGCUCGCCCUUGGAGGAGCGCUGCGAGCGACGGCGCGGGGGCGGCAACAGCGCGUCAGAACCUGACUGUUCGUUAGCUCCUCUCGCUGCUGGGGAAGAAGGAGGGGGAUGGGCCAUGGACGGGGUUCCCUUGAAAACCUCAGCGUCGAGCUCGGGCGGCUACGCGCAGGCAGCACUAGGCUGCUUCACGGGGAGGGGGCGCGGCCAAUCAUUGGCACCCCACUGGUCCAAUGCUGAUGAAGAUGGUGCCAGCGUCGUGUGAGGACAUCUCAUCUCCUCGAGUUCCAUGGCCAGCACAGGUGAGCUGCCGCUACCACAAAACAGAGGUUUCGUGAGAGUCAAAAAACCUUAUGAAAAUAGCUAAAACCAUCAUGAAAAUAAUCCGUGACAUGACACUCUCACGAAAAUCCUCUCACAAAUAUGGUGCCAUGAAAAUACCAUUUUCAUGAGAGUGAACUGUCAUGAUUUUAUAAGCGUCAAUACUCGGUAUAAAUUGACUACUGCUGUGAGUUCCCUUUCAGCUUAUCGUAGGCAUACAUUAUUGCUAGCACGGUAAAGAGAACCAACACGAAUGAUGAAGUAAACGUAGCGGAACUUUUGUAUACCAACACCCUUACGUACCGGUGUCAUUCCCCACUGCCACAUAUAUUCUUAUAUGCUAACCAGCUUUGAAAAUUAAGCGAUUAAAAUAAUUAUUUCAAGAUAGAAAUAACUUAUCGGCUUCUCGAAGCUUGUGUAAUGUGAAUUCAAGGACUCGAUGGAAGUUGAAUCGCUUCAUCUAGAUUGCUUUCAGGAUUUUGGGUAACUAAAUUUAACAUUUGCACACACAAAUGUUAAUGUACAAAUGUUAAAUCUAGUUACCCAAGCAGAAUAUGAAGAUACUCUAUAGUAUAUAUGUACUAUAUAAAUCUAGUAAACAUUUAGUCUAAAUGUUAAAUCUAGUUACCUAAAAUCCUAAAAGCAAAAUGUAUAAAUAUAUAUCUUUUAAGGCAGUAUAAGCUUCAAUUCUCUGUUAAAUCUCAUCUUUCGUUGUGGCCCAACACUCUAGUAUGCAUGUUGCACCAAGCUUCUUUGAGCCGCUCUGCCCUCUGAUUUUGCUGCGUAGGGGAAUCUUUAUCAGGUUGGGCUACUUCCAGUUGUGCGAUGUAAAGCUUCGUAUCUUUUAGAAGGUAGACAAAAUACCCGCGUUCUGGAAGAUUCUGCAACGUGCACGUUGGCGCUGCCACCGUGGUUGCUUAAGCAAAUGCAUCCAACUGAAUCGUCCUUAAGCUGAAUAAUUGGAUAUGGUAUCCACUGCUUAAAGCUGCCAUGUUUAGUACGUCUUUGUUUUUCUCUCUUUAUAUUCCAAUAAGGUCGGUGAUCUUGAUGCCACACACUCAGAUGUGUGUUUAUCUCCAGAUACUACUCCAUGCUACCUACCCUUUGUGUUUUGUUCAAUAACUGGGUAUCAUAUCCUAGCCAGUGUGCCAUCUGUUUUGUGUUUGUUUCCUUCUAGUUCCAAAGGGGUCAUCAUGAUGUUAC